CGGUGCUCGUUACUCACCACUGACAUUUGUUUCUCAGCCAAAUGGGUUUCUUGAUUAAUGGUUUUGUAAAACAUUUGGGAAAAAUAGAAAAACAAAUUAACGUGAUGUUCUCUGAUUCCCAGAUCCCUGCCAACCAUCAUCUGUAACAUAUUGCCAAUCUGGCAACUGACGAGCAUCGUUCCUCCUCGCCCAAGCCCUUUGAGUCCUGGGGAGAAAUUCAACAGCCCAGUUUGAAGCAAAAGUCCUGAUGAAGUGCACAGUGAUGUCACUGACCCCAGGAAGACACACACACACACACACGGGACAGUCACCUCCCCUGCCUGAAGGCUGAUAUGGAAUCCCAGAGAAUUCUUUUGUGGAUUUCUUCAUUUCCUCUGUGUCCUGCCCUCACAUGGCUUCGAAAUUGAGGAAGUUAAAAAAAAAAAAAGAGAGAGAGAGAAUUCUUCCUACCAAGUUUGGGACUUGCUUGGUACAAAGGCAAUGAGGUUUCUCGCGGUGUUCGACAGCUAACUGUUGACGCUGGGCUGUAAUGCAUCCGUCUGUCGCCAUGUCCCAAUGAGGUCAUGGUUGGAAUCCACAUUUUAUGGAUGUAGAAGCUGAACCCCAUCCCAGCUCUACCAAAUAACCACUGAGUGACGGAGCGGAGAUUGGAACUUAGUUCAGCUUGGACUUCAAAGCCCACGCUCUUGGCUAUCUGAUCCCCUGACCCCGCUACCCCUUGACCCACGAGUUCUCUGAGUCACCAAAUUCUAGCAUCCAGAGGUCUGGCAUCACAGGCGCCUUCCUCACUACCAGCAGCAUUCCUGCUAAAGCAGAAACCCCCCUUGCCUCCAAGGAAGCGUGUUUCAGCUCGGCUCAGGAAAAGCCGUGGGCGACGUCUUCCCCGUGUCGAGUCCAAAGCUACCGUUGCUCUACCUAACAGUGCCAUUUUUGAGCCCUGGGGCCCCACAGAACUGUCUUCUACGAGACGGCCUUCGAAGUGUCUGAAGACAAUCCCCCCACCCUGGGCUGCCCCGGGACAUGGGACGGAGCCCUGGGAAGAGACAGCAGGCCAGCCCGGGAGCUGAUGUAGACAGAGGACUGACCACGAGCACGUACGUGGCACCCAUCACCGCUGCUUCCCCACGGAAGGUCUUCCUUGAGCCAACAUCCAAACUCUCCAUCUGCUAAGCUUUUCUCACCUGGAGCUGAAUCGAGAUGGUUCUCUCCCCUCGAGACUAAGGAAUAACUACAGAGACACAAAGUGAGGAAGAAGGGCCCACACGGGGCGAGAAGUUACAGGGCAGGUCCGGUGGGGACGGUCACUGGGCCGGCCCCGUCCUGUCACUGCAUCCAGAGCGUCCCUCGUGGAAACACAGUGGCCGGACCUAACCAGUGAUUUCCAAUCCCCACUCCUAUCCGGCAAGGCUAGGCUCCCCAUCUUGGAGGUGUGGUCAUGGCUUGUUUCUUCCCUCACCUGCUACUUCCUCUUCUGCUGCUGCUGGGCUUUGUGAAAAAGAACUCAAAACAGAGCUGACAAAGGCCAGAGAGUAAAUAUUUCAGGCUUUGGGACCCAUACAGUUUCUGACACAACCCUACUCUUCCUCUGUGGCAAGAAAGCAGCCACAGACUUUUUGGGCCGUCCAGAAUGUAAAUCCUUGAUGACUCAAUCCUGUCUCUGCAUGGUUUCUUCCUCAGAAGCCCCACUGCUCUGCCCAUGGCCACACCAAGCCCAACAUUAAUUGCUCGUCACGUCCGUUUACGUCUCAAUUCUGUGCUGUCACUCCUUGGAAGGCUUGGCUUGCACGAGAGGAAUAUUUGACAGCUGUCUUGAGCUUCGACUCGUGACUGCAAAAGGGAAAAUGCCUGAAAAUUAAUUCCCUAGUGGAGGACACAUGAUUAAGGAACGACGUGAAGGUUUAGGGACAAUAGCAGUUUCAUGGGAAGCUGGGCACUUGGAGAAGCUGGUAUGAACCAGGAGUUGGAACAGGCCAUCAAGCUGGAUCGCCUGAGGACACAGUAGCUCAUCUUUGAGCUAAAAACAGAGAUGCUCCGGUGUCGCCUUGUUUCUUAAAAAAAAAAAUCAGCUCGCAGUAAUCCUUUUGCCAAAAGAGCACACCACAGGCUGGCUUAUUCACCUACCCUUCACUGGCUCUCCUGCCACAGCCCCCACCGGUCACCACAGUCGCCUCCAGGUCUCAGGGCCACCCCCCCCCCCGCCCCGAGUUGGCGGCCGUGAGGCUUGGGCUGUGUGCGGUGUGGAAGGAAAGACGUAGGACAAGCGGAAGUCUGGAUGCCAGCCUCAAGCCCCCCACGUCUGAGCCGCCGGACCCGAGUCUCUCUGACCCGCACCGGCCGCAGCUAUGACGCAGGAAUGAGACUUCCCGCCCGCUCGCGUGUGAGCGUGUGUGUUCACAGCAGCGGAUCUCAACCCGGCUGCCCUGGAAUUCUACCUGUCCCACCUGCAGAGAUGACCGGCUCAUGGGCCUCGGGGCUGCUCCAGAGUGACUCCAGUGCACGGCCAGCCCUGUGUCACAGCGUGCCUCUCCAAGCGGGGUCCUGGGACUAGCCUUGGGAACUUUCUGGAAUGUAAAUUCUUUUUUUUUUUUUUUUUAAACAAACAGGUAGGGACUACCUUCAACCUAAAAUUUUCUGCCAAGGAAGCAACCCACAAAAUAAAAAAUGUCUUUUGGAA